CGCAGCCUUCGGGGCAGGGUGAGGGCCGAGAGGCCCAAUUCCCGAUCGGCGGUAGAGCCCGCGAGCGCCACAGGCGCAUGAUCCGGUGUGAUUCCGGAGCCGACGGUAAAGUCCGGAUGGAAGAAGGCGGCA
rnacentral:ncRNA from 2 species